AUACGGAGGAUCCGAGCGUUAUCCGGAUUUAUUGGGUUUAAAGGGUGCGCAGGCGGCCAUUUAAGUCAGCGGUUAAAUCGUGGGGCUCAACCCCAUUCUGCCGUUGAUACUGGGUGGCUUGAUUGCGGUCGAGGUUGGCGGAAUUCGUUGUGUAGCGGUGAAAUGCAUAGAUAUGACGAAGAACAUCGAUUGCGUAGGCAGCUGACCAGACCGCAAAUGACGCUCAUGCACGAAAGUGCGGGGAUCGAACAGGAUUAGAUACCCUGGUAGUCCGCACAGUAAACGAUGAAUACUUGUUUUCGGCGAUAUAAUGUCGGAGGCAAAGCGAAAGCGAUAAGUAUUCCACCUGGGGAGUACGCCGGCAACGGUGAAACUCAAAUGAAUUGACGGGG
rnacentral:rRNA from 1 species